CAUUAACAUAUUACUUUAUUUUUAGAAAUGUCAUUUUAAUGAAAACAUAAAAAUACAGUAUAUUCUGUAUUUUAUAUACACACGUAUAUCACUGGACACUUCAUAUAUAAGGUGUUAGUGUGUAUGUGUUUAUGCACCACCAGUCCUAAGUUUAUACACACCUUUCCUGUACAUUUGAUUGGGAAAGGUGUAUUUAAUCUUGGGACUGGCGGUGCAUGUUUGUAUAGGUAAAAACCAGGUAUACCUCGUGGCCAGUGGGUGUAUACUUGAUGGCUGUACAUAUUUACGUGGACAACGACUAUUAUCAAGGGUUUCUUAUUUGUCAGAUGCCUAACACACUGAACACUCAAAUGAUGUCUAUAGUACCAGGGUCUGAAAUCUAACUUUUUAUUACCUUUGUGAUCAUUAACCCAAUGAUGGCAAUAAAAUGAAAUUUAGUUUUUUAAUUUACUAAAAAUGGUCUGACAGACCUUUGUUGUUGUUUUUAUCUUUUUCUGCCUUAGAUAAAGUUGCAGUCCGCAAGAUUAAAACAGAAGAGGAUAGUUACGCUUCUGACUAUGCAGACUUAUGAAGAGAUCACAACAUUUCUGGGCUCAUGGGGACAUUUCCAGCAGAGUGUCUUCUUCAUGCUCUGUCCUACCAUCUUGCCAAAUGGAUUUGGUGUUUUUUUUUUCUCUUGUCUUCCUGAUUGACAUUCACCCUCACCUCUGCAUGGUUCCAGAGGACAACUUGACCCAAAAAUGGCACAAAGCUGCCAUCCCAGUAGAGGUGGUGAAUGGGGAAGAGGAGCUGAGCAAAUGGUCCAGAUACAGACUGGAUGUGGUCAGAAAUCUCUUUGCUCAGGGUCACAUUCCGGGCAGGGACAUUAACCUCACCGACCUGGAACGGGAGGGCUGUGUGGACGGCUGGAGCUACAGCAAGGCCAUCUACCAGUCCACCAUAGUGACUGAGGCAGGUGAGCAACAAGGUAAGGAGAGCUAUGAUAUCUUCAAACUGCUGAGGACUAAAAACAUUCUGAACACCACUACCACUCUGGGCCUGCUGUGGUGAGUUUUGAGUCAGAGCAGGUCAAUCAGACAUUUUGAUCACAAAUUACGGUAACAUUUCUGCACUAUGUUCUUAAAACAAAUGUUUAAUAAAUUCACCCUCUUAUAUGGUGUAUCCAGAUUCAGUAUGUGUACUGGCAAUUUAGGCUUGUCCCUUAACCAGCCUAGUUUUCACACUAAUCCCUAUAUCAGCUGAUUCAUCUCAGCAGCUGUAGAGGUCCCAGCAUAUAUUUCCAGCUGGCUGGCUCUGCGCAGCCUUCCACAACGAAAAACUGCCAUAUCUAUUUUGCUCUUUGUAGGAGUGUUGCUGUUUAUUAUACAUUUGGUUUCUGAAAGUAAGCAAACAAGAAGAAAAACCUAUGACCAUUUGCAUGCACUCAGUUUUCAAGUUUGUCUCCUCAUCCGUCACAGAAAUUGCAUGCGCUGCUGGCCCCUCUUUACAAGGGAGCCAGUGUGGUUUGACCAGGUGAGUCAGUUAUCAGCGGUCCCAGGAACCUGAUGCUGCUGACGAGCUCGACUGCAGAGUUGUUUAUGGUGAGAAGAGUGUGGCUGGUCUGGUUCUUCCUGAAGUCCACGAUGAGAAAUACUAGUUACUAGUCUACUACUUCUUAACAGGCAGCAUAACCCUCAAUUAAGUUUAAAGAAAAAAAAAACUGAUAAAAUACAAUAAAGACAAUAACACUUGCUUAUUUUCGGACUGCUGCAUGUUGUUGGAGACGUGGACGAUGUACAAAGCUGAACGGCCAUUUACUCCCACAGGAAGGAAACACCUGGGUCAAUGGGAGUGGCACUUCUGCGCCGGGAUGACGCAAUGCCUCGGCCAAUGGCGUUGACUGUAUUUUCUUCUACAGUUCAGUUUAACGCACUUGAAUUAUUUUUUUUAGUACAUUUUUUUAGUACAAAAUAUAACUUUUAUUCAGAAAUUAAUUAAAAUGUGUUCAUACUAACAACAAUGAUAAUACUUCAUGUCAAUUCCUUGCACCUGUAGACAUUGAAAAAAGUGAGCUAUCCCAACGUUCGUCUUCAACUGCAAAUUGAUGUCGAAACGCCGUCAUAAAUAGAAGUCCAAAUAGUUUACCUAUUUUGCAGGUGGAGAAAAAGUCCAUAAUCUUGGACUGACUGACGCUGAACGUCCAUAAGACGUCUAAUAUUUAGUGGGUAACUUAUCCAGAAGCACCAAUAUUGCAAGGCUGGAUAGAGGACAUGUCGCAAUAAGCUUUGGCAUUCCAAAAAUAUUUACACAGGAAUGAUGCGCUCGCGCCUUUCGUGGUGACUACACCACCUCCUUGGAACUAUAACUGCAGCCAUUUGUGCAUAUUGUGGCAGUUAACACCUGUCUUUCAGGCGUGCUAAAUAUGGAUGCAGAAACAGCCAUUGCAGUCAGUUUCAGGUUUGGUAAAUCACAUUGCGUGAGCUACAUUGAUGUAUUUGCAUAUACUCUGCAAUAUUUUGCACAUUCUGGCAGGAACGCACAUAUUCCAUAUUGCACGCAUUACAGUUGCAAUUCUCAUGUGGUGCUGCAGCACAUUUUUGCACGUUUGCACACUGUGGCAGGGUGGAGGAUUGGGCGUGGUCUGCGGGGAGCAGCACACAGGUGGCGCUUGGUUCAGCUCAUUGGGCACACCUGUGCCCAAUCAAUCUCUCCACCCUGCCUGGCUAUUUAAAGAGCGGCUGCUCGGCUCAGAGGGACACAGAGCUACUGAGUGUGCUGAUACUCGUCUGUGUCUGGCUGAAAUAAAGAAUCACAAUUUUCCCCCGAAACCCCGUGUCCUCUAUCCUGUCUGGUGACCCCCGGUAGCACGAGAUUGCUACACACACGUUUUUACACACGCACAUUUCUAGUAAAUCUGAGCCUUGGUGGGUUACAGUAGUGGUAAUAACGUUUUUGUGAUAAAAGUGGUUUAUUUUUUUCCUUUUUUUUUGUCAUUGUAGAAUCAAAAUUGUAUCAGAUUUAAGAAUGACUUAACAAAACUGCAAUUUAUUUAAAAAAAAAACAUACUUUUAAUAUCUUUUUCAAAGUUUAUUUUAUUAUCAUUAUCAAGGGGUUUUUAAAUCACAAACAUGAAAUAAAGUGAAUUAUGAAAGUGUAGAUAUCCCAAGAUAAAAAGGCUAGUGCUUUAUAUGUGACCUGUAAUAAAAUAAAAACCUUUUUCAAUGUACUGAACUGUGUCAACACACACACACACACACACACACACACACUAAAAAAAUACAGAAAGUGGUACAGUAAAUAUCCUUCUUUUCACAGUAUUUUGAAUGUGUGGCAGGAAAAAAAACACUAUUCCUUUGUUAAAAACUUUAUAAACUAAUAUUCCCACUGCGCUGUUGUAGACACACGAUAUUCACAUAUCCAGUUGUAUUUUAACAAUGUGUUUAGUUAUUUCUGUACAGUUUAAUUUCACUGAAAAGUUCGCAGGGAUCAUCUGGCCUGCCAGUUGUUACAGGUGAAGCUUGUGCACUGACUCUUGCGCUCAGGUUUUUCCUUCAGCAGCGUUUUCCUCUUCCUCUGUGUGUGUGAGAUUAUAAGGUGUUUUCCGACAGCAUCUUGAGAAACAAAAAAACAGAGAUCCAUUAACAGUAAUAUUUCACUGAACCUUGACUGGAGGUCAGACAGGCUUCUCCAUGAACUAUGAUGUGUGCAGAUGACCUUGUGAUCUUUAGUGAGUAGGGAGCUGGAGGAACAGAACCUUGAGAGGUAGGGAUAUGCUUUAAGAGAGAAGACGAAUGAAGGUGAGUUGCAGCAACACAGAACACGUCUAAAUGAAGGAAAGCAGGUAGAAUGGUGAGGAGUUGAGGUUGAAAAGGAUGCAGUAGCUUAUAUACUUACCCUCAACUGUUGAGCGCAGUAGGAAGUGUGCAAAAGAGCUAAAUAAGUGAGUGGACACAGUGGACUAAGUGUAGAUGGGUGUCUUUGGUAAUUGAUGAUAGAAAAGUGACAAUGAAGGUAAAGUUUUACAAAACAGCACCACUUACCAAGAGACAAGAGUAGGAGCUGGAGAUCACUGACUAAUUUGUGAGUGAGAGGGAUGAACAGCAUUAAGAAAGGGCACAUAAAAUGAACAGUGAGGAUUAGAAGUCUGGGACAUAAAGUAAGAGGGGCUUGAUUGACAUGGUUUUGAAAAUGUAAAGAGGGUGGAUGGUGAAUAAAUCAGUAGAAGGAUCCUACGGUGGAGCUAAGCAGAAGAAAAAAAGGGGGAAACCCCUUUUUGAGGUGGAACAAACUGUCCAGUUAGCUGGUGUGACAGAGAAAAAUGCAGGAGACAAGGAAAGAUGAAAAGAAAUGAUCCUCUGUGACAAACGCUUCACUGCAAAAACAGCCCCUUUAGAAAUAAGCCUCAUAUUUCAUAAAUAUAGUCAAAAUUGUCUUUUUUUAUUAUUUCUUGUAGUUCUCUUGCUGCAUUAGAGGGAAAGGUUAAAAGCAGAAAAAAUGUAUUUGUAACGAAUAUAAAAUCCCACUACAUUGACGAAAAUAUAUUUUUUUACAUUCAUUUGAAUGUCUUAUCAUGUUUUGUUUUUUGUUUUGUUUCUUCUUCUCAAAGUAUAAAACAGAUCACAAAGAUAGCUUUCUUUUAUUUACGUUAUAUUAGGAAAAUUGCAAGCAUCCUGACCCAAGAGGAUGCAGAAAAAUUGAUACAUGCCUUUGAUACCUCGGGUCUGGAAUAUCGUAAUGCAUUGCCUUCUUGCUGUACAAACAGUUGUGUUAAAAUCCCCUUAUUGGUCCAAAAUGCUGCAGCACAAGUACUAACUAUAGAACUGGGAACUGUAGUCUCUUAGACCAUCUCUUAGUGUUGCUGCUAAAGGGCCUUGGUUGCUGGAGGUACUCCCGAUGUGCAUUGAGCAUCUUCACCCUGUCCCUCUUAUCUCAGUUUAAGAUUGUCCUGGAUCAUUUAAUAUCAUUAACAUGUCUUUCUUCUGUCUGUUUCCCAUCUCUUUCUGCAGGUCCCACCGGGGUGAUGCUGGUUCCUGCUACAACUGCUGUUCCUGUUUUUUCCCUGUAAUUCUUUAUGACGCACAGCAUUGUAGUGCAGUUAGGAGUGACACUUUACAGCAAGAAGGUUCAACUGGACGUUGGUUCACCCGGGUCUGUCUGUGUGGGUUUUCUCCGGGUACUCUGGUUUGCUCCCACUCCAAAAACAUGUCGCUUGGGCUAACUGGUACUACUAGGCCUAGGCUUUAUUCACAUUAACUAUGAUGCCAUUUGAUGUAUUGGAGUAAUCAUAAGGAUAAUAUGAAUAAUUAUAGGAAUCAUUUGAUCUAAUAAAUAAAUCGAUCUAAGAAAUGUGUGUGUUUGGCAGUGAGAAAGCUGUUUUAAUUGGUCUUUGGAAUAGAAAGUACCAAUUGGGGUGCUGCUGCGUUCCCAGAUGUCUAUAUGA